rnacentral:rRNA from 1 species
GACGAACGCUGGCGGCGUGCUUAACACAUGCAAGUGGAGCGACGAACCAGGCUUCGGCCUGGGGCAAAGCCGCGAACGGGUGAGUAACACGUGGGUAACCUGCCUCGAUGAUCGGGACAACCCGGGGAAACCCGGGCUAAUACCGAAUGUGCUCCGUCUACAUCAGUGGACGGCGUAAAGGAAGCUUCGGCCUCCGCAUCGAGAUGGGCCCGCGGCCCAUUAGCUUGUUGGUGGGGUAAAGGCCUACCAAGGCUCCGAUGGUAGCUGGUCUGAGAGGACGAUCAGCCACACUGGGACUGAGACACGGCCCCAGACUCCUACGGGAGGCAGCAGUGGGGAAUCUUGCGCAAUGCGCGAAGCGUGACGCAGCAACGCCGCGUGGGGGUAAGACGGCCUUAGGGUUGUAAACCCCUUUCAGGAGGGACGAAGGUUGGCGCGUUAAUAGCGUGUCCGACUGACGGUACCUCCACAAGAAG